UACGGGGGGGGCGAGCGUUGUUCGGAAUUACUGGGCGUAAAGGGUUCGUAGGUGGCCUGCUAAGUCAGACGUGAAAUCCCUCAGCUUAACUGGGGAACUGCGUCUGAAACUGGCGGGCUUGAGUGCAGGAGAGGAACGCGGAAUUCCAGGUGUAGCGGUGAAAUGCGUAGAUAUCUGGAGGAACACCGGUGGCGAAGGCGGCAUCCUGGACCAAUAUUGACGCUGAGGAGCGAAAGCCAGGGGGGCAAACGGG
rnacentral:rRNA from 1 species